rnacentral:rRNA from 1 species
CCUACUGGAGUCAGCAGUGGGGAAUAUUGGACCAUGGAGGCAACUCUGACCCAGCAAUGCCGCGUGAAUGAAGCAGGUCUUCGGAUUGUAAAGUUCUUUAAUCAGGGACGACGAAGAUGACGGUACCUGAGGAAUAAGCCACGGCAAACUAUGUGCCAGCAGCCGCGGUAAUACAUAGGUGGCACGCGUUGUCCGUAAUGACUUGGCGUAAAGUGAGCGUAGGCGGUCUGUUAAGUAGGAUGUUAAAUCCCGGGGCUCAACCCCUGAACUGCUUUCAAGACUGACGGACUUGAGUGUAAGAGGGGUAAGCGGAAUUCCUAGUGUAGCGGUGGAAUGCGUAGAUAUUAGGAGGAACACCAGUGGCGAAGGCGGCUUACUGGAUUAUAACUGACGCUGAGGCUCGAAAGCGUGGGUAGCAAACAGGAUUAGAUACCCCUGUAGUC